AAUUGACGGGGACCCGCACAAGCGGUGGAUGAUGUGGAUUAAUUCGAUGCAACGCGAAAAACCUUACCUACCCUUGACAUGGAAGGAAUCCUUGAGAGAUCGAGGAGUGCCCGAAAGGGAACCUUCACACAGGUGCUGCAUGGCUGUCGUCAGCUCGUGUUGUGAGAUGUUGGGUUAAGUCCCGCAACGAGCGCAACCCUCGUCCUUAGUUGCUACCAUUUAGUUGGGCACUUUAAGGAAACUGCCGGUGAUAAGCCGGAGGAAGGUGGGGAUGACGUCAAGUCCUCAUGGCCCUUACAGGCUGGGCUACACACGUGCUACAAUGGCGAUGACAGUGGGCAGCGACCCCGCAAGGGUGAGCUAAUCUCCAAAAGUCGUCUCAGUUCGGAUUGUCCUCUGCAACUCGAGGGCAUGAAGGCGGAAUCGCUAGUAAUCGCGGAUCAGCAUGCCGCGGUGAAUACGUUCCCAGGCCUUGUACACACCGCCCGUCACACCAUGGAAGCUGGUCACACCCAAAGUCGUUAUUCUAACCGUUUGGAGGAAGGCGCCUAAGGUAGGAUUGGUGACUGGGGUGAAGUCGUAACAAGGUAGCCGUAUCGGAAGGUGCGGCUGGAUCACCU
rnacentral:rRNA from 1 species